GGUCAUUGCACGUCUGUUUGGUUAGCUUGCUAAUAUUGUUUUUGUCAUUGAAAAUAAUUAACAAGCUAACCAAACAGACGUGCAAUGACCCUUCAGUUCUUGGGUUUAGACUUUCCUUGAGAUCCAACGCGAAGUUGUUGAUCUCCAAGCACACUUUCUCAUAUUUUAAUACAUUUAUUGCUUAAACAGACUACAGUUUGAGACUUAGGAUCAACGCCAUACUGUUGAUCUGAUCACUCUGCUACAUGUCGUGGUGUAAUCCUUAUUGCUUCUUGGCAUGCCUUUCACAGAAAGACUUUAUCCUUCCAAGACCAUCUUCAAGCGCUGAUGGUUCAAUGGCAAAACUUAUGCGAAUCCAAUUCUUCAUUCCUACAGCAAUCCCAGGUAGAACUAUGACUGAUUCCUCUUUAGCCAGCUUGAGACAGAAGUCCAUAUCAUCCUUGAUGCCUUCCAAUAGUGACGAAUUCAGUUUUGCCAUCAGAAACAUAGAACCUUCUGGUUUCUUUGUGCAAGUAAUGUAUGGAUUGUCCUGAAUUCUGUCAUAGCAUAUGUCUACAGCCUCUCUCAAUAAGUUAAUAAUUUUCAAAAAAAAAUCCUUCUUCGUGUUCUCGAGGAUUUCUGGAAUUGCCCCCUGAAUGAAGGUUGCAGGAUUUGAGGAGAGGUCGAGACAGCUACAUAUUGAAUCAACAACCCCAGAUCUUUUAAGAAUUCCAUUGGGAUCAAUAGCAACAAGCCAACCAAUUCUCCAGCCAGGAACAAGCCAUCUCUUUGACAUAGAUCCAAGCGAAAGGACAGGCACAAUUGACCCAAAAACUCCCAUUGGCACAUAUGGGGUACUCCCAAAUGUAAGAUGCC
rnacentral:misc_RNA from 1 species